CGAAGGCAAGCGGAUCUCUUAAAGCUGUUCUCAGUUCGGACUGCAGUCUGCAACUCGACUGCACGAAGCUGGAAUCGCUAGUAAUCGCGGAUCAGCACGCCGCGGUGAAUACGUUCCCGGGCCUUGUACACACCGCCCGUCACACCAUGGAAGUCUGCAAUGCCCGAAGCCGGUGGCCUAACCACUUAUGUGGAAGGAGCCGUCUAAGGCAGGGCAGAUGACUGGGGUGAAGUCGUAACAAGGUACC
rnacentral:rRNA from 1 species